rnacentral:rRNA from 1 species
UACAGAGGUCUCAAGCGGUGUUCGGAUUCAUUGGGCGGAAAGGGUGCGUAGGCGGCGCGGUAAGUCGGGUGUGAAAUCUCGGAGCUUAACUCCGAAACUGCAUUCGAUACUGCCGUGCUUGAGGACUGGAGAGGAGACUGGAAUUUACGGUGUAGCGGUGAAAUGCGUAGAUAUCGUAAGGAAGACCAGUGGCGAAGGCGGGUCUCUGGACAGUUCCUGACGCUGAGGCACGAAGGUCAGGGGAGCAAACGGG